UAACCCUACCCCAGAUUUAAACCUGAAGGAGAGUGAUAGAAAAAUGGCUCAUCAUUGAGUUGCUUGCUCCUUUUUUUUUAAUCAGCCAAAAGUUGUCAUUUGGCCAGAUCCUGAGGGUGAGCCCCUCCUUACUCAGUAAAGCUGAGUGUGAUUCAACUUGGAGGAGAGGGACUUACAAGAAGGCCACGCUAGGAGCCCAUCUUCCAUUCCCAUCACAUGCUGUGCUCCCCUCUGUGAUAAUACAGAUCACAUCACACAUUACUCCCCAAUCACAAGCUCCUGAUGGCAGAGGCUGGCUUUAUCUAUUUCUUAUACCCAGUUCGAUAAAUGCUGCUGAAUGAAUAGAGAAAUGCUUAAGACUUGGUUAACUAUCUUGGUUCUUCCAUUGACUGACUACAACUGAAUCCUUUCUGAAUAGGCCUUAAAUGCUACAUAACUGAGUUUAUUUUCAUGAAGUUUAUGUGUGUGGGAAUGGAGAAGAAAGUAGAACUACUGAUGUGAUGCCACCAAAUCUCCACUCUCAGACCAUUCUCUUCCCAUUUUGACUCUUUAGAAAGUACAGAUAUCACCAGGGAUAGUUUUAAAAAGAAGGAAAGAAUUUAAAUUCCAGUAUUUCUCACAUCACUUGUCCAUAUCUUUCAAAAACCUUCUUGAUCCUGUUCCUCCUCAAAUGUGUUCAACCCAGCUGAAGCAGUGGAUUUAAUGACAAAGGCCAUCAGCGAUGAGAUAAUCACACGACAUAGUAAGUUUAAAAUCAAUGAAACCUGAGGCCUGAUGUUUUGCCAUGAUGUCACCUCUAACCAGAGUUCC
rnacentral:lncRNA from 1 species